AUUUCUACACGGUGAAACCAAAAUGUCUAAAAAUACCCUUUAAUAAAAUCUGACAGUGUGCACUUUAACCACACGUGAUUUUUUUCUAUUACAAACCACAAAUUGUGGAGUACAGAGACAAAUAAAGAAAAGAUGGGUCUUUGUCCCAAACAUUAUGGAGGGCGCUGUAUAUAUUCAUAAGUGAUAGGAGCAGAAUUCGGCCAUCCGGCCAACAUCCCAACAUCCUCCAACAUCCUAAAGACAAAACGUUGCCUAUUUCCUUCGCUCCAUAGAUGCUGCUGCACCCGCUGAGUUUCUCCAGCAUUUUUAUCUUCCCCAAAGAAGAGUCGAUUUGUAGAUUGAUUGGCUGUCGUAAAUGUCCCCCAAGUGUGUCGGGAGUGGAUGAGAAAGUGGGAUAACACAGAACGGGUGAUCGAUGGUCGGUGUGGACUAAGUGGGCCCGAGAGCCUGGUUCCAGUCUCUCGCUGUCUCUCACUCUCUGACUAUCUCACUCUGCAUAAUGAUAAAAAUAAAAUUGUAUAACCCGCACCUUGUGUGAGCUCGUGUGUGAAGGCUCAAGAAACCCGUCAGUUCCGUGUUCAGGACGGAGUGACGGCAACGAUACAGCAUGUGUCUUUGAAGAUGGCAAAGUGGACACUAUUCAGCAGAAACUGAAUCUAACCAAUCCCAUUUUAUGUUUUCACUUCAGGUUUACCACAUUCACCUUUACUCCAAAAUUGGACGUUUCUCCAGGGAACUAACGCGCUACAUGCUGUUAACAGGCAUCUGAUUCAUCCUACCACAACCAGAGAGCAGUGCUGAACUAUUAUCUACCUCAUUGUAGACCCUCGGAUCAGUCUGAAGAAGGGUCUCGACCCCAAACGUCACCUAUUCCUUCGCUCCAUAGAUGCUGCCUCACCCGCUGAGUUUUAUCAGCAUUUUUGUCUACCAUCGGACUAUCCUUGAUCGGACUUUGCUGGCUUUACCUUGCACUAAACGUUAUUCCCUUAUCUUGUGUCUAUAGCUGUAUAGACCACUUUCUGUUAUUUGCACUUUAAAUAACCACUUUGCACUGUUAAUAACCACUUUCUGUUAUUUGCACUUUAUCAGUUAUUUAUUCAUGUGUGUGUAUAUUUAUAUCGUGGUAUAUGGACACAUUGAUCUGUUUUGUAGUAAAUGCCUACUAUGUUCUGUGUGCUUAAGCAAAGCAAGAAUUUCUUUGUCCUAUACAGGGACACAUGACAAUAAACUCACUUGAACU